UCUGGGAAGCGAACCUGCAAAAUAUGCACAAGCGGGGCAGUGGAGGCUUGGAGAGGAAGAGGAUUUCCCAGGAUUAUAAAGAAAUGAAGAAAUGAAGGCACAGAGAUGGAAGAGAACUUACGAGGACUCUAAGG